GGGUACAGCUCAGCGGUAGAGCAUUUGACUGCAGUUCAACAGGUCCCCAGUUCGUCUCCUGUACACA
rnacentral:tRNA from 1 species